rnacentral:rRNA from 1 species
UGAGGAAUAUUGGUCAAUGGGCGCAGGCCUGAACCAGCCAAGUAGCGUGAAGGAUGACUGCCCUAUGGGUUGUAAACUUCUUUUAUAUGGGAAUAAAGUUUUCCACGUAUGGAAUUUUGUAUGUACCAUAUGAAUAAGGAUCGGCUAACUCCGUGCCAGCAGCCGCGGUAAUACGGAGGAUCCGAGCGUUAUCCGGAUUUAUUGGGUUUAAAGGGAGCGUAGAUGGAUGUUUAAGUCAGUUGUGAAAGUUUGCGGCUCAACCGUAAAAUUGCGGUUGAAACUGGCAGUCUUGAGUACAGUAGAGGUGGGCGGAAUUCGUGGUGUAGCGGUGAAAUGCUUAGAUAUCACGAAGAACUCCGAUUGCGAAGGCAGCUCACUAGACUGCAACUGACACUGAUGCUCGAAAGUGUGGGUAUCAAACAGG